rnacentral:lncRNA from 1 species
CAACUUUAUUAAUACAUUUGUCGUGCAAAAUACGACAACAUAUAUACUGUGAGUUUAAAAAAACAAUUAUUGUCUUCUAGACAAUAUACAUACUCAAAUAAAUCCUCAUCACAAUUAUUUAUACAUUAUUUUACAAAAAUGGUGAGGACUACUAAACAACUCUCUCUAGAACCUUCAUUCCAUACCCCGACUAGUACUCGCUACAUUCUCGCCUCCUGAGAAGAAAAAUGGAACAAAAAGGAAAAGGGUGAGCUCAACUAGCCCAGUAAAGAAUAUUAUGACUAAGAUAAUAUACAACAAAUUAUCGUUAGUCUUCAACAGGGAAAAAUCUAAUAGAAUACAAUAGACAACAAGUUUUAAAUCAAUAUUCGCAGCGGAAAUAAUAAUUCAUUAGAAGAG